CCUGCAGGUUGCUGAAGGGCAGAGUCACAGACUGCUCCACUGCCAGGUGUGAGACCAGUGUGGCAGAGUAUGAUGUGUACACAAUGAGGGACACACCACAGCCAACCCUGUAGGUGACCCAUGCUGCACUGCUGAUUGGGUCCUCACUUUGCUGUAGGAGAGCUGACAACACGUACCAGCCAGCAACUCCCAUGCUGACAGGCUUCUCCCCCAUGGGUAUGUAGCACCUCUGGAGUUGCUCAGCAAAGAAGAGGAUGCUAGCCAAACCUAUCAUGUUAGCCAGGAUGCACCAGUACAGAGCUGUGUCCAUUGGGGUUGUGUAGGCUAGUAGCAUCUUGUCAAGAUCCUCAUAGGUGGCCACAAACAGUUUAUAGCUAUGAGAGGAGGACUUGCCUUGUGAACAUCACAUUGGGGAAGCCCACCCCAGCAGCCCAGCCUCCCCUGACAGCUGUCAUCAUCUGCUGCCUUGCCUGGGAGGACCAUAGACACAGCUUGUCUCUGAUGUCUUCCCCACAAUGCCUUGUCUUUGUUGGCUUCAGUGCAAUUUGUUUGUCUUCAGUUUAAAUAGUAUUGUAUAUACUAUCUUGUCUUCACCAUCUUGAAAUGUGAAGGAUGUUCUUGACAAACAAACAAGGUAGUAUUGUAUAAUUAUUACUUUAAAUAUUGUCUUAAAUUAUCUUGAAAUUUGUAUAAAAAAAAAAUGUGUAAAAAGAAAGCAAAUACAGAUGAUUAUCCCUGUAGUGAAGGAGGAAGUACUCAAUAUCCCUGUAGUGAAGGAGGAAGGACUCAAUUUUUUUUUAAGUUUAAGGUGUGAUUUGCACAUAGAGGCCCCUGGAUUUCCCUGUAGAUUGACCCUCCCUGAAUGCAGGGAGGGACGGUGCCUGUAUGUACAAAUCGCACCUUAAACUUAGUAUUUUGUAGUGAAGGAGGGAGGAAGUAUUUUGUAGUGAAGGAGGGAGGAAGGACUCCUUUCUGAGUCCUUCUUCCUUCACUACAGGGAUAUUGAUCUCUAUAAAUAAUUUUUUUUUACAAAGCUAGCUAACAAUUAUAAGGCAGAUUACAUUGAAAGUCAUAAUUAUUAAGCAAAUUUAAUUUUUUUUUCACAAUACAAUUAUUAAAUUUGACAAAUUA